rnacentral:rRNA from 1 species
GAUGAACGCUGGCGGCGUGCCUAAUACAUGCAAGUCGAGCGAAUGGAUUAAGAGCUUGCUCUUAUGAAGUUAGCGGCGGACGGGUGAGUAACACGUGGGUAACCUGCCCAUAAGACUGGGAUAACUCCGGGAAACCGGGGCUAAUACCGGAUAACAUCUUGAACCGCAUGGUUCGAAAUUGAAAGGCGGCUUCGGCUGUCACUUAUGGAUGGACCCGCGUCGCAUUAGCUAGUUGGUGAGGUAACGGCUCACCAAGGCAACGAUGCGUAGCCGACCUGAGAGGGUGAUCGGCCACACUGGGACUGAGACACGGCCCAGACUCCUACGGGAGGCAGCAGUAGGGAAUCUUCCGCAAUGGACGAAAGUCUGACGGAGCAACGCCGCGUGAGUGAUGAAGGCUUUCGGGUCGUAAAACUCUGUUGUUAGGGAAGAACAAGUGCUAGUUGAAUAAGCUGACACCUUGACGGUGCCUAACCAGAAAGCCACGGCUAACUACGUGCCAGCCGCCGCAGUAA